CCUCUCUUUCUCCUAUACUUCCCCCUUACUUCCUUUGUGUAAAAAAAAAAAGAAAUUUCUAUCGUAAUUUAAUAAGGGUUUUCGUAUCGAAUCUCUGUCAAUUUUCGAAGGGAUUCGUUCGAUGGAGUUGGAUUCGUGGACUCGGUUAUCGAAGCGCGACCAAUCCGCUCUCCAAUCGCGAUACGAUCUUUAUCUAGGGUUUGGAGGGAUUGAUGGAGGCGAUGAGGAGGCUCGAGUGGAGUUCUCUUGCCCGUUUUGCUCCGAGGAUUUCGAUGAUGUUGGGCUUUGCUUUCAUAUAGAUGAUGAGCAUCCAGUUGAGGCGAAGAAUGGGGUAUGUCCUGUCUGUGCGGCUAGAGUUGGCUCAGACUUUGUUGCUCAUUUGACAAUGCAGCAUGGAGAUUUCUUCAAGAUGCAAAGGAGGAGGAGAUUCUGCAGAGGUUCGUCUGGAUCUCAUUCAACACUUUCAUUAUCAAGAAAGGAGCUUAUAGAUGGAAAUUUGAAAAAUCUUCUUGGUGGGUCUUCCUAUGCGGUUCAUUCUUCUGAUACGGCAGCUGAUCCUUUCCUGUCUUCGUUGAUUUACACGUUUCCUAUGGUUGAUUCUUCAAGAGACACACAACCUAUGUCUCUGGAGGAAGAAAGCCUAGUUAACAAGAGUUCAGAUGUGAAAGCAAUAGAAAGUCUUAUCAAAGGUGUGCCUCACUGCGCCUAAUGCGCCCUGCGAUAUGGGGUGGUGGCAAAGCACCUCACAUUUGAUGCAGCAACGGCUUUGGCGCCUCGCAAACACCCUGACUUCGUGCAAGUGUAGAACCAUCUCUAUCUGGCAAGGAGCAGAAGGAGAGAGCCUGCAGGAGUGAGCUUGUGCGGUGGCUCUUGCUCUCCACAGUAUUUGACGAUAACAGUUAAUGAUGAACAAUACCUGAAACAAGGCCACAAGGCACUGCUCGGGUACUGUUGUACCAUAAGCUGCUUCAUAGAGCCCCAAGUAUACAAAUUUGGGGUUUUAAUUGGAGUUGUAUGUAUACAUGUUUUUAUCGGAAAAGAGGAAAUUUAUGUUAAUCAUCAUGGACUAUUGCAGGACAUUUUUGUUAAUAAUAUUUCUUGAUAUAGAUUGCAUUUUUUUUUUUGUAUUAGGGUUA